AUGACAAACACAAAGGGAAAGAGGAGAGGCACCCAGUACAUGUUCUGUAGGCCUUUUAGAAAACAUGGAGUUGUUCCUUUGGCCGCAUAUAUGCGAAUCUAUAAGAAAGGUGAUAUUGUAGACAUCAAAGGAAUGGGUACUCUUCAAAAAGGAAUGCCCCACAAGUGUUAUCAUGGCAAAACUGGAAGAGUCUACAGUGUUACCCAGCAUGCUGUUGGCAUUGUUGUAAACAAACAAGGGCAAGAUUCUUGCCAAGAGAUUUCAUGUGCAUAUUGAGCACAUUAAGCACUCCUAAGAGCCAAGAUAGCUUCCUGAAACAUGUGAAGGAAAAUGAUCAGAAAAAGAAGCCAAAGAGAAAGUUAACCUGGGUUCAACUGAAGCACUAGCUUGCUCCACUCAGAGAAGCAUACUUUGUGAGAACCAAUGGGAAGGAGUCUGAGCUGCUGGAACCUAUUCCCUAUGAAUUCAUGGCAUCA
rnacentral:lncRNA from 1 species